GUGCCAGCCGCCGCGGUAAUACCGGCAGCCCGAGUGAUGGCCGAUCUUAUUGGGCCUAAAGCGUCCGUAGCUGGCUGCGCAAGUCCGUCGGGAAAUCCACUCGCCCAACGAGUGGGCGUCCGGCGGAACCUGUGUGGCUUGGGACCGGGAGGCCUGAGGGGUACGAUCGGGGUAGGAGUGAAAUCCUGUAAUCCCGCUCGGACCGCCGAUGGGGAAACCACCUCAGGAGAACGGAUCCGACAGUGAGGGACGAAAGCCAGGGUCUCGAACCGGAUUAGAUACCCCAGUAGUCC
rnacentral:rRNA from 1 species